rnacentral:rRNA from 1 species
AACGAACGCUGGCGGCAUGCCUAACACAUGCAAGUCGAACGAGACCUCCGGGCCUAGUGGCGCACGUGUGCGUAAAGCGUGGGAACCUGCCCUUAGGUUCGGAAUAACUCCCCGAAAGGGGCGCUAAUACCGGAUAAUGUUACCGGACCAAAGAUUUAUCGGCUUUGGAUGGGCCCGCGUUGGAUUAGCUGGUUGGUAGGGUAAAAGCAUACCAAGGCGACGUUCCAUGGCUGGGCUGGGAGGAGGCUCAGCCACACUUGGACUGAGACCCGGCCCAGACUCCUACGGGAGAGAGCAGUGGGGAAUAUUGGGCGAUGGGCGAAGACCUAGUACAGCCAUGCCGCGUGAGUGGUGAAGGCCUUAGGGUUGUAAUGCUCUUUUACCCGGGAUGAUAGUGACAGUACCGGGAGAAUAAGCUCCGGCUAACUACGUG